rnacentral:rRNA from 1 species
GGCUUGGCUGGCUGGUCUGGUCGCAAGAUCAGUACUGGUCUGGUCGGGCCUUUCCUCCUGGGGAACCAGUGUGCUCUUAACUGGGUGUGCUGGGGAUCCAGGACUUUUACUUUGAAAAAAUUAGAGUGUUUAAAGCAGGCGAAACAGCUUGAAUACAUUAGCAUGGAAUAAUAAAACAGG